GUCGAGAAUAAUUCACAAUGGGGGAAACCCUGAUGGUGCAACGCCGCGUGGAGGAUGAAGGUCUUCGGAUUGUAAACUCAUGUCAUCUGGGAGUAAGACCUGACGGUGAAUAGCCGGCAGGGUUGAUAGUACCAGAAGAGGAAGGGACGGCUAACUUCGUGCCAGCAGCCGCGGUAAUACGAAGGUCCCAAGCGUUGUUCGGAAUCACUGGGCGUAAAGGGAGCGUAGGCUGCGCGGUAAGUCAGGUGUGAAAUCCCGGGGCUCAACCCCGGAACUGCACCCGAUACUGCCGUGCUAGAGGGUUGGAGAGGUGACUGGAAUUCUCGGUGUAGCAGUGAAAUGCGUGGAUAUCGAGAGGAACACUCGUGGCGAAGGCGAGUCACUGGACAACAUCUGACGCUGAGGCUCGAAGGCCAGGGGAGCAAAAGGGAUUAGAUACCCCUGUAGUCC
rnacentral:rRNA from 1 species